UAAUACGGAGGGUGCAAACGUUGCUCGGAAUUAUUGGGCGUAAAGCGCACGUAGGCGGUUCGUUAUGUCGGAUGUGAAAGCCCUGGGCUUAACCCAGGAAGUGCAUCCGAAACUGGCGAGCUUGAGUACGGAAGAGGGUCUCGGAAUUCCCGGUGUAGAGGUGAAAUUCGUAGAUAUCGGGAGGAACACCAGUGGCGAAGGCGGAGACCUGGGCCGAUACUGACGCUGAGGUGCGAAAGCGUGGGGAGCAAACAGG
rnacentral:rRNA from 1 species